CAUUGAACCACCGGUUCCCAUAUGAUCACUGAAGUUAAGCAGUGUCAAGCCUGGUCAGUAUCUACAUGGGUAACCAUUUGGGAAUAUCAGGCGCUGUAAG